rnacentral:rRNA from 1 species
AUACGGAGGGUGCAAGCGUUACUCGGAAUUACUGGGCGUAAAGCGCGCGUAGGCGGAUAUUUAAGUCAGAUGUGAAAUCCCUGGGCUCAACCUAGGAACUGCAUUUGAAACUGGAUAUCUAGAGUAUGGUAGAGGUGAGUGGAAUUUCAGGUGUAGCGGUGAAAUGCGUAGAGAUCUGAAGGAACAUCAGUGGCGAAGGCGACUCACUGGGCCAUUACUGACGCUGAGGUGCGAAAGCGUGGGUAGCAAACAGGAUUAGAAACCCCAGUAGUCC